rnacentral:misc_RNA from 1 species
AACAAGGAGAAUGUCAUAGAAAUGUCUAGCAUAGUGAACUCAACUUCUGACUCAAUUGGCCUAACCUUAAUCACGGUCUUGAACAGUCCUAUCACAUUUCUCUUUGAAAGAUUAUAGGCUCUAAUAACCAGAUCAAAACUACUCAACUCAGACAUAAGAAUCUCAAACUUGGAUAAAACCUUAAGAGGGCAUACAUUGAUGGCUGACCCAUCAUCCAUUGUUACACAAGGCACCUUCCACCCUCUAACCUCGACAGUUACAAAUUUAUUAUGGUUCCUUCCUUCGGCUAGAAGAUAAUGAUUAGAGAAAGUAAUUUGACUCUUGUUUUCUAUUAGAACCAUCUUAGCAACUUCAUCUGGGGUUAUGUCCAUGGAAACUCUGAGCACAUUUAGAGCUUUGGUAAGUGCAAUUCUAUACUUCUCAAAUGCCAACAAUAGUUCCCAGACUUUCA